rnacentral:lncRNA from 1 species
AGGAGAGUGCAAGUAACAGGACAUGGGGCAGAGCCGCAGGGAUGCCAGGGAGCCAUCUUACACAGGGAUGACAGCCACCGGAGAGAUUUAGGAUUUUAGUCAAAGAACGCGAAGACUCGAGAGUUUUAAUCCACAGAGCAAAUGACAAGAUCUGAUUUACAUUUAUAGCAAUUACCGUGGCUCCUGUGGGGUAAGUAGAUUAGAGCACAGGAGGUAAUGAUCAAAUUCAGACGUUUGGUGACCACAGUGAAUCAAGAGGCCAUGAGGGUGCCAGGAGCUGUGGUGGUGCUGAUGCACAUGGAGACAGAUCGACUAACCUCGGGGUUAUAUCCUAACAGUGGAAAUGACAGGGCUCACUGGGGACUGCAUGUGAAAGGUGCCGGAGGAAGAAGAAUUAGGGAUGGCUUUAAGGCAAGGUUAGGGUUAGGGGGAGGAAGGCAGGUGGGAGAAGGGGGCUGGUCAUGGGACUUAACAGUUCAGCUGUAAACAGGAAGCAGAGAUGCUGAGUAGGAAGAUGGACAGAUGUGUAUGGAGUUCAGAGAGAGAGGUCAAAGCUGGAGAGAUAUUUUUGGAGCCAUCGGGCCUGGAAAGCUGGUUGCCAGGGCAGCCAAGCAGCAGAACUAAAAUAUCUAGAUUUUCCUUUUCUGUCCUUCUGGCCUCCCAAAAGCACUUGGAUACAACGUGAUCUCCAGGCUCUGGUACAAAACAAGGACUUGCACAGGCAUGAAUUGAAAGGAAAAACAGAAAGACAAAAUUCUUUCAGUUGUCAGGACAGCAUGAUUAUAGAUAUAUUUUUCUUUUCUUUUUUGUUUUCAUAUCUACUGAGAGUUGUUGGUGGGUUUCUUCAACUAAUCGUUUUUUAAAUAAUUAAAUAUAGUCUUGAAUAAGUGGCCAAAAAAAAAAAAAAAGUAACCGGGUGCAGUGGCACAUGCCUGUAAAUCCCAGCAGCUGGGGAGGCUGAGACAGAAGGAUCGAGAGUUCAAAGCCAGCCUCAGCAACGGCAAGGUGCCAAAUAAAAUACAAAAUAGGGCUGGGGAUGUGGCUCAUUGGUUGAGUGCCCCUGAGUUCAAUCCCCGGUCCAAAAAAAACAAGUAAAGUAAACCUUGAUGCCUGCAGGGGUUGGGAAUGUCCCCCUUGUUCCUGUCACCCUGGAGUAUCCUGGUAAUUCUCAGUAGCUUCACUGGAUCCUGGGAAGAGAUCUUGCAAAGACAGCCACAGAGGCAGGAAGGCAUUCACAAAUGGACCCUGAAACAUCUGAGAGACGCUGUUCCUUGACAUCACAAUCUGAGCUGGAAAAGCUUUUGGUGCCACCCGGUCCCACCCCUCUACAUCAACCUCAGUUAAUAGAUGGGAAUGUUAUAUCCUGAAGAGACUGGACGAUAUCAUCAAAAUAAACC